GAUGAACGCUGGCGGCGUGCCUAAUACAUGCAAGUCGAGCGAACAGACGAGGAGCUUGCUCCUCUGACGUUAGCGGCGGACGGGUGAGUAACACGUGGAUAACCUACCUAUAAGACUGGGAUAACUUCGGGAAACCGGAGCUAAUACCGGAUAAUAUAUUGAACCGCAUGGUUCAAUAGUGAAAGACGGUUUUGCUGUCACUUAUAGAUGGAUCCGCGCCGCAUUAGCUAGUUGGUAAGGUAACGGCUUACCAAGGCAACGAUGCGUAGCCGACCUGAGAGGGUGAUCGGCCACACUGGAACUGAGACACGGUCCAGACUCCUACGGGGGGCAGCAGUAGGGAAUCUUCCGCAAUGGGCGAAAGCCUGACGGAGCAACGCCGCGUGAGUGAUGAAGGUCUUCGGAUCGUAAAACUCUGUUAUUAGGGAAGAACAAAUGUGUAAGUAACUAUGCACGUCUUGACGGUACCUAAUCAGAAAGCCACGGCUAACCACGUG
rnacentral:rRNA from 1 species